rnacentral:rRNA from 1 species
CCUACGGGUGGCAGCAGUGGGGGAUAUUGCACAAUGGGGGGAACCCUGAUGCAGCGACGCCGCGUGGGUGAAGGAGCGUUUCGGCGCGUAAAGCCCUAUCGGCAGGGAAGAAGAUGACGGUACCUGGCCAAGAAGCCCCGGCUAACUACGUGCCAGCAGCCGCGGUAAUACGUAGGGGGCAAGCGUUAUCCGGAUUUACUGGGUGUAAAGGGGGCGCAGACGGCAAUGCAAGCCAGGAGUGAAAGCCCGGGGCCCAACCCCGGGACUGCUCUUGGAACUGCCUUUGAAACUGUCAAACUGGAGUAUGUGAGAGGGCGGCGGAAUUCCUGGUGUAGGAGUGAAAUCCGUAGAUAUCAGGAGGAACAUCAGUGGCGAAGGCGGCCGCCUGGCACAAAACUGACGCUGAGGUGCGAAAGCGUGGGUAGCAAACAGGAUUAGAUACCCCAGUAGUC